GCCCUUGUGGUGUAAUGGUUAAGCACUUGGCUGCUAACUAAAAGUUGGUGGUUUAAACCCAUCCAAAGUCU
rnacentral:tRNA from 1 species